rnacentral:rRNA from 1 species
GACGUAGGAUGCGAGCGUUAUCCGGAUUCCCUGGGCGUAAAGCGCAUGUAGGCGGUUUCACAAGUCCGUUGUUAAAGCCCCUGGCUCAACUGGGGGAGGUCAAUGGAGACUGUGCGACUUGAGGGCAAUAGAGGCACGUGGAACUCCCGGUGUAGCGGUGGAAUGCGUAGAGAUCGGGAAGAACACCAGUGGCGAAGGCGACGUGCUGGGUUGCACCUGACGCUGAGAUGCGAAAGUGUGGGGAGCAAACGGG